rnacentral:rRNA from 1 species
CAAUAGCGUAUAUUAAAGUUGUUGCAGUUAAAAAGCUCGUAGUUGGAUUUCUGGUAGGAGCGACCGUGCCGAACUUGAUUGUUCGAGUAUUGUGUUGUCUUCAGCCAUCCUCGUGGAGAACUUUUCUAACAUUAACUUGUUGGGAUUGGGACCCGCGUCGUUUACUGUGAAAAAAUUAGAGUGUUUAAAGCAGGCAUUAGCUCGAAUACAUUAGCAUGGAAUAAUAAGAUAGGACUUUGGUACUAUUUUGUUGGUUUGCAUACCAAAUUAAUGAUCAACAGGAACAGUUUGAGGAUAUUCGUAUGAACAUGUCAGAGGUGAAAUUCUUGGAUUUUGAUCAGACGAACUACUGCGAAAGCAUUUAUCAAGGAUGUUUUCAUUAA